AACGAACGCUGGCGGCAGGCUUAACACAUGCAAGUCGAACGGUCCGCUUCGGCGGAUAGUGGCGCACGGGUGCGUAACACGUAUGCAACCUACCUUACAUUGGGGGAUAGCCUUUCGAAAGGGAGAUUAAUACCGCAUAAGACAGUAGCUGGGCAUCCAGUAGCUGUUAAAGAUUUAUCGAUGUAAGCUGGGCAUGCGUCCAAUUAGUUAGUUGGUGAGGUAAUGGCUCACCAAGACGAUGAUUGGUAGGGGAACUGAGAGGUCAAUCCCCCACACUGGCACUGAGAUACGGGCCAGACUCCUACGGGAGGCAGCAGUAGGGAAUAUUGGGCAAUGGACGCAAGUCUGACCCAGCCAUGCCGCGUGCAGGAAGAAGGCGUUCUGCGUUGUAAACUGCUUUUAUAUAGGAAGAAACGACCCUUGCGAAGGGCAUUGACGGUAUUAUAUGAAUAAGCACCGGCUAACUCCGUGCCAGCAGCCGCGGUAAUAC
rnacentral:rRNA from 1 species